ensembl:lincRNA
UCAGUAGUAGAACUGAGAUUCCAUUUCAAAAGUUUCCAUUCUUAACCUGUACCUUCUAGGCAGGAGACCAAGCUGCAGGGUAUUGGUGGGAACUAAAAAGCAUGUAAUAUGAACAAGAGGCAAAGACCCAAACCUGGGUAAAGGAUAAGGGAAGAGUUCCUGUGCAGAGAUGCCCGCUUGGUCACCUGAAUCAGGAAGAGGAAUUCGGCUGACAACGGGGGACCCUGGAGCAGAAGCAGCAAGUACUGUGACCUGUGGGGUGAAACAUCUGGAGCAUUUUCAGACAAAUGAAUCCAUUUCCACAUAACUGGAAUGCAGAAUUUGAAAGAGCUGCCUGGCUGGUUUUGGUCCUGUCUUUCACUUUGGUGGCAACACAAUGAUCAGCUUGGCCUCCCACUCCUACCUGACUCAGCUUUCCACCUCAUUUAACAACAGGCCAGCUUGAUAAUGAAAUUCUCUGCUUCCCAAAACAAAAGAUGAACUCAGCCCCAGUAUUAUUUUUCCUGGAAGAGAGCACUUACUUUCAGUCUGCCUGAACUUCACUCACUUUGCAAUCUUGAUUCAAUCGACAUGCAGCAUCCAGGAAUAGUCUCUGAAAUCCUGAAUAUGAACCUAUCUUCAGUGCUGUUUACCAGCGCUGCAGCUUGUGCGGCCUUGGAAGCAGAUGCUGAGAGGCCAUCUUUGGAAGGUGCUUCUUACAUACUGUUCACCGUGUACUGGACUCCUCUACCUCUGAGCCAGUGCUGCUGAACUGAGUUUAUUCCAACCUCCCUAGGAUGAAUCUAUAGUUGGUUUUCUGCUACUGCCCAUCAGCCAAAUUACUUUGUUGAUUUGACUUUGCAGAGCUUGUAUUAUGAAAUCAGUAGAUAUUUUGAAUGUGCCUUUUCAAACUACACGUGUCUCCCUUGUCACCAUGCCCACCCCACCUCAUUGCUGCAGCGUUCUCAACCUGGACAACUCAUGGAUCUCAAAGGACAUAUUCAACAAUCCUGUGGAAAUUCUGAGGACCGAAUUUGGGGUUAGCCCCUAGUUUGGGGCUUGAGAAUUUGGGAUCCCUGGUGGCUCAGACAGUAAAGAAUCUGCCGGUAAUGCAGGAGACCCAGAUUUAGUCCCUCGGUCAGGAAAAUCCCCUGGAGAAGAGAAUAGCUACCCAUUCCAGCAUAACUGCCUGGAGAAUGCCAUGGACAGAGGAGCCUGGUGGGGUUGCGUGGGGGCCACAAAGAGUCGGGCACAACUGGGCGACUAACAACACAUGAGCAGUUAAGCCUGGUUGGUCUUCAUUUACCACAGGGAUCAGAGGUAGAAGUUCAGAUACCGUGGUCAUAUCUGUUAUAUAAAACGGUCAUCUGAGUAAUCAUGAAUGAGGGGUACUAAUUUGAUUUCAAUUAUCAACUAAAGUCAAAUUCAAUAUCUAAAACAUUCAUAGAAAACUUCCAACUAUCUCAUUUGAGAAUAUGUCUGUGAAAGGAGCCAAAUUUGAAAAACACUGCCCCAAAUGAUUUUCUCUCCUCCCCCACUUUUUGAAGGCUUAAGAAUCUCUGACUAUGAAGGCUGUCUGUUCUAGAAUUGUAAGAUUAAGUUAAUUUCCUUUUGUAGUCUCUAGUGGGAAUGGUUAAUUUCUUUUCUAAUAAAGAAGUACAGGUAGUGAAAGAAAAAAAAAUAAAAAGGAGUUUGAUGUGCAAGGUAUUUAUUAGGGCUCAAUAACCUUACAAGGGAGAAGGAUGUGGAUCGGCAGUGCUAUCUUGCCACAGCUUUCACUGACUUUGGGAGGGUUCACUCCAAAAAUAUCCCAUGUUGGGCUGAAAUGCCUGGGUCUUCUGCUCAGUCAUUUGGAAGUGGGCUGAUCCCAGAAGGGCACGACUUUGAGUGAAUCAACUCUGAAGCUAAAGCACAUCCUUUAAUAUCUGGAGGCUAUCUGCCCUCAGGUAGAGUGACAAGUCUUUUCUUGGAAGGGGGAUCUGGGUGGCAGGUGUGCCAUAAUAGCUAGUAUUUCUUGUUCACCAUGUGCAGGACCACUACAAAAAUGCUUUUAUGCACAUCAGCUCAUUAAGCCUCACCUCCUGCCCCUAAAAUAGGUAUGAUUAUUCCUCCUAUUGUACAGAGAAGACAGCAGACUAAGAGUGGGUAAUUGGCUUUUUCCAAGUCACACAAUGAUUUUAAGUGGUAGAGCCUAGAUGAUAAUGCAGGCAGUCUCACUCCAAAGCUGAAACAUUUAAACACAAAGGAAUCCUAUGAGGCACACCCCUUACUUAACUGCAACUCCUUGAAUCUUAAUAAUCAACAUACAAUGAAUAUUCUUCUAUUAAGGAAAAAAAAGGAAUGCCCAUUUGAAUACACGCAGAUAUCAGAGCCUUUUCAUCUGUUGGUUCGAGCCAAGUUUGGUGUAGCUUGGUUUAAGAAGGAUUUCCUUUUCUGUCUCCUGCAUAUUCCAUAAAUGGAUAUGUCACUGGUCCGGCAUUUGAGGUAAGUCAUGAGUUAGUCCCACCUGCCUGCCGUGUUUGUGUGAAUGGAACACACUGAUUGAAGUGCUGAGAAGCUGUGGGAAGCCAGAGCAUGGCCAUCAGCAUUUCUAGGCUGUCCAAUUUAUAACCUUCCAGGAACUCAGAUAAAAGUACAGCAGUCACAGAGUUGCUUUCAGCUGAAGAGCUUUUCAAGAUAAUAAUUCACCUUUGGAUUUCUAUGCAGCUGUAGGUAACAGUAUCAAUUAGCACUGACAGAUUCAGAGGUGGACCUCAUUUUCCCUCAAUUAUCUUUUGCUACUGCUGCUACUGCUGCUGCUAAGUCAGUUGUGUCCGACUCUGUGUGACCCCAUAGACGGCAGCCCACCAGGCACCCCUGUCCCUGGGAUUCUCCAGGCAAGAACACUGGAGUGGGUUGCCAUUUCCUUCUCCAAUGCAUGAAAGUGAAAAGUCAAAGUGAAGUCGCUCAGUCGUGUCUGACUCUUAGCGACUCCAUGGACUGCAGCCCACCAGGCUCCUCCGCCCAUGGGAUUUUCCAGGCAAGAGUGCUGGAGUGGGGUACCAUUGCCUUCUCCAUAUCUUUUGAUAGAUCUUUUAUUAAAUAACCAAAUGAACUUUGAAC